rnacentral:rRNA from 1 species
CGUCGACCGGCGCACGGGUGAGUAACGCGUAUCCAACCUUCCCAUUACUGUGGGAUAACCUGCCGAAAGGCAGACUAAUACCGCAUAGUCUUCGAUGACGGCAUCAGAUUUGAAGUAAAGAUUUAUCGGUAAUGGAUGGGGAUGCGUCUGAUUAGCUUGUUGGCGGGGUAACGGCCCACCAAGGCGACGAUCAGUAGGGGUUCUGAGAGGAAGGUCCCCCACAUUGGAACUGAGACACGGUCCAAACUCCUACGGGAGGCAGCAGGG